rnacentral:lncRNA from 1 species
GCUUUCUAAUAGAGGAGGGAGGGAGGGUAUGGGAAUCAAGGCCUCUGACUGUACAGUAGGAAUAUUAAUCAAUACUGUCAAUCAUUAUCUGCACCUUGUACCCAAUUAAAUCGUUCCAAUGAGGAUGAUGAAAUGCUACCCCCAUCUUUGAGGUCACCUUUUUAACUCAUGUGUGUGAGAUAUUUUAGAGAGUUAGAGAAAGAGAAUAGUAUUUUGACUUUAGAUUCACUACACAGGUGGCAUUCCAGUGAAACUACUGUAUACCCACUAUAACCAAACACUACUUCAUGGUGGUGAUGGUGAUGAUGCCAUCCACUAUUAAUCAAUUGUAAAUUAUCAUCCAUAGGAUAUAUCUGCAGUCAUAUUAACACAGCUCUUCAUAGGGACAUAACCCACUAGCAUGUAUCAUCGGAGACAGUGUGUACCUGGAAAUCAUUCUAUAUUUAAUAAAAUAGCUAGUUUUCUAUCAGAUGUUUGGUGUAAAUGCAGGGGAAAUAGUAUAGACUACUAUAGGCAAUCUAUUGUAACUUUAAUGUAGUCACAUGCUUUUGACGUUUAUUUCUAAAACAUGCUUUUUACUUUUUCAAUCAUGAUCAGUUCGGUGUGUUGAUUUCCAUACUGAUAGCUGUGUGGUAACAUACUGUAUUGAAAAGUGUUAGAAUAUUAUUGUAGUUUUAAGUGGAUAUGAAUUAUAUCACUUGGACUGGGAGUUGAAUGGAAGGUUAUGACAUGUGCUUUAGUCACUGUAUUGAGUUUCUAACCUGAUUUCCACCUUCAGAUUAAAAUGGACUAUCAUAUUUAGAGGAAAUGGUCACUGGACAUCUCUAGUCCUCUGGGGUUGCCGUGUCUGCUGAGCUGGGUUGUGUUUGGGAGUGAGAGGGGGGAGAUGAGGAGAGACUAGUGGAGAGGCCAGCAGAGAUGGCACCCUAGAGAAAUAGGGGGUUAUUCUUUGGGCCAUGUUGUGGAGUGUUGUGUUUCAUGACUACACAGAGAAAACAUACCAAUAAAACACAUUCAAAAG